CCAAGAGCUGGGGAGCUGAGCUGAGGACUGGAUAGGAGCUUGGGGGUGAAAUGACCUUCCAGAAGAAACAAAGCACUGUGAAGUUAAGUCUGGAAUGACCUGACUGAAUUGAGCAAAUUCUGUCUAGUUUCUCCAGGGGGUGAUAACAGCAAGGCUCCUUCCCUCUGGAAGCAUAUACAGUUUUGCUGGAGUAAUAAAAACACUGAAGAGGAGAACCAGCAGCAGGCGCAGGACUGACUUUGAUUUCAUUUUCUUACCUCUGUGGAAAGCAAAGCAGUAAAAUCUUUCAAGAGCCCUGCGUCUGGGUAUCCUGCUGCUGCCUUCAGCCCCAUCUCCUGAGCAGCAGAAGUGGUGGCUUCGCAGCCUUUUCAAGUUGUUCAGAUUCUGUUUCCAGCGUGCAAUGUUAUUUAGAAGCGUGAAGACAGCUCUGAGAAAAGAAACAGUUUUGCAUCAACAUGGGGCACAGCUCAUAUUCUCUUUUACAUGAGCUUGUAACUAGCUCUGUUUUACCUGAUGUAAAUGUAAAUUGAUUUUCCUCCUUGUUCCCGUGAUGAAGUAUCUUCAAGCUGUGCUACUGAACGGUCAAGAAACACAGAAUGAAUGUGUUAGGAGCUUGAAGAAGAAGGAAAAGUUGCAAAAUAUGAAAAGAAAGGUUCCCUUAUGGACAGAAAGAAAAGUGCUGUAGGAUGGAUGCAUGCAAUACAUACCUGUAAUCAGUUUCUAAAACACAGUAUCUUUACUGGAAAUGUUAGAGGAAAAUAACCCAUUCCUGGGAAAUGAAACCAAACUCAUGUCAAAGCAGAUGUUCUGAAGCAUGUAGUUGAGCAAACUUAGGACAGGAAGGGUGCUGCACAGGAGGCUGCCAUCAGUCUGUAAAUGGUGUGUUUCUCUAGAGGAAUAUUCCACUGUUCCAAGCCAGCUAGUAUUUUCCUGUGCUGAUUUCUGCAUGUAGCAUUCUGUUGUUUCAUUGCAGUUUUCUGUUAAAAACAGUUGGGCUCAUAACCCUUCCUCAUGGGAAUGUUGUUAUCCACUUGGUGUAUUCCUUUGGAAAGAGGGAAAGAAAUGCAGAAUUUGGAUUGUUAUUGUUGGCCAGAUUGCCUUCAGAGCUGAUUUGGGAUAUCACUGGGAAUACUUCCAGAGAAAACCAGUAUUCUGCUCUAUUCCAUAGGUACUCUCUAUAAUUUUAUCUCCUCAGCACAGUGUGGCUCUGUGAUCUUUGAAACAAUACUGGAAAUUAAAGCUACCUCAGUUAUCUAUUUUGAAAAGUCUUCUCUUCAAGCAAAGUGGCUUGUCCAUCAUCAUGAUUGCAGUAGGAAAUACUUCUGCAGCUCAUAUUCACCACAUCAGCUGCCAGUGUUCAACAGUCCCUGACUUUCUGAUGUCAGAAAGGAGGAGUUUAUAAAUGGAUUGUGCUAUUAUUUUGUCUUUCACAUUUACAGCAGUUCAAUGACAAUGAUUGAAUUCCAACCAAACACAGUCUGACAAUUGCUAUGAGACUGGAAGUAUGGUAAGUAUAAAAAAUAUAAAGAAAAGUAGCAGUAUGUUCAGUUUUCAGCCAAUGAACAAUUAAAUAUAGCCAAAGAACCUCUCUGAAAUAUCUGGAAGAAACAGAAAGAACAGAAAUCAGGAUGGAUUUUUUAUUUAUAGCAGUGGCCACAUGAACAGAACAUGUGGAAAAACAAGAACCAAAGAAGGAGAAAAGGAGCCAUGAUGGUAAAAGCUCUAGCUGGCAAGGAAGAGUAGAAGGAAUAAAAUACUUCCAGUGUCCACUGUAUGAAUGCUACUCAUAAAAGCUCAAGUGGGAUUCUUCAGCUAGCAAGAGUAUGUCUGACUGAGAGCCUGGCAGCAAGUGGGUCUCAACAAAAUACUGAUUCUGUGUGGGAAACAUUGGAGAAAUCCAUGGACAUUUGGAUGCAAAACUGUGUUGGGGAACCAUACGCCAGUACCAUUCUACUCCAAAAAGUAACUCUGUGAAAGAAAUUGCACCCUGUUUCCAAUUGAUCCACAUACCUGACAGGGAAGAGCUGUUGUCUCCAGGUAGGCAGCUGUGCUCAGGCAGACUUGUCGGUGUAUGAAUUUAGCACAGUCUUUAUGAAGGUGUUUUUUAACCUGCCCUUAGUGCAAUUAACAACAGGCCUUCUUUGUGGAUCUGGUAAGCAUUGCUAGCAUACAUCCAGGGCCUUUCUCUGAGAGCUGCAUGCUUCCUAAAGCUAUCAUCUAAAGUUAGUAAUACCUAUUUUGUCAUUCAGUGUUAACAGAAAUGAUAUAGAGUACAUUCAGAGAAGGAGCUAUUGUAUAAGAUAAAGCCUCUCUUAUAGUCACUCUGGAGAAUAAUCCCCUAUGAGAACAGUUCCUUAUUUUAAAUUGUUAAAGAUAGCUUCUUGCUAGGGAAUGCAAGAUGCUGAUAACACAUUAUAUUCCUCUCUUGCUGCUUCUUUCUCUUGUAUUGAUUGGUCCUAUGCUGGAGGUAUGAUAGACCAUGGGGCUCAUCUUAUACUCCUCUGGGUGCUUUGAAGAAAUGACUACAUUUGUCAAAUAACAAAAAAGAAUCACCUGAGACAGUCAAUUGAGACACAUCAAAAGCAACGUGAAAACCUGCAGUCCCAGCUCUGUGAUGAAGUGAGAAUUAAGCAGCAUGCCAUCCUGCCACCGCUUCCUCACCAUUGGCAGGCGUUUCGCAUGAGACCUUGUUUGUUAGGACCACGGGAGGCAGGAAAGCCCACGGAACAAAUUGAUCAGAUCAACUCAGAAUUGAUGCUUCUUAGACUUGGCAAUUGCAUCUUACACUGUGAUACUGCAGGUCAUUCAUGUGACAAGAGGACUAAUCACAUUGCUCCUGUGAAGGUAUCUCUUUCCAGUCUAGAGGAAAAUACUGCUCUGUGAACCAUACAUGUUGUUACAAUUGAAGUGAAAGUCAGCAGACCAUUUGAGAGGAAUUUCUGAGGAAUUUUUAUAAAUUAUCGAAACUUAUAUGGGGAAAAAUUCAUUUCAAAACCAAUCAUGGAGGGCUAACCGAAAGUUAAAGAACAUUACUGAGGACAUAGCCUAAAUGCCUCUAGAACAUUGGCAUGCAAGGCAUUGUGGCAGCAUCAGGCAUUUCUUUUCUUGCACGCUGGAGGAGAGGGUGAAGCAGCAUCUUGAGGAGUCCAGCAGCUUGUCUGGAGCUGUGUCUCGCUGUCUGCAAGAGUAAAGAAUCCUUUUAGUGACCUCCCCUGUUCUAAAACAUCAGUGGUCCCACACUGUUACCUCCUGGCUUUCCUCAGCCACAGUCAAUGACAAGCAUGCAGCACUCCCAUGGAGCCAGCUGUAUUUUCAACCAUCAUAUGCUCCCCCUGGCAGAAAUGCCCUUGGGGCUUCCUCAGGCUGUGCUAAAGGGAGCAAAUCCCUCCUCAGCAGUCUUGGCUGAGCGACAGGCUGGUCUCUGCAGUAAUUCAAGGAACGUUCUUGCUGGAAAGCAUACAGCUUUUUCUCUAGAACAGCGUGGGGUUUUUUUUAGCCGUAGCUGUAGAAACUUACUGUGCAGAUUGAUGUGGAUACAUGUGGAGGUACCAGGCACCUACAGAUAUGAUAAAGCGUAUAUAGUUUAAAUGCUACCUCUUUUUGGCAGAGCUAGGAAAGGGAGAGAGUUUUAUAAGCUGCAAGAGACAGGGCAAGUACAUAUUCUCCUGAAGUCUCCCGUCCCAGGCACCCCAUUCCUUCCCACAUGAAGUCUGGAACCAGACAGGAGAGGAAAGCAAUCGCAGUGCUCUGCAUGCUCCUUGCUCAGUAGCUGUAGUUGUUAUGAGGCAGACUUUAAAAAGCUGCUUGAUGGUCUGCAGCGUAAAAAGUCCAAGUUCGCAAUCUCUGAAAUUCAUAAUUGAACUAAUUCCUACAGAGAAAGAGUUGAGUUUGAUUUGCUGUUUGAAAUAUUUGACUUGGAGAUCAGUGCAAGUUUGGAGAGGAUGGGUAGAACUGACAUUGCAAUUAACCUGACUUUCUUUCAGCUCACCAUGUUUCCAACUUGAAUGUGCUAAUCAAGUUCUAACUACCUGUGUAUCUCAAAUAUUUGAGGUUUGUCUUUCAGUGUUUUCGUUGGAUCCUUCUGAAAAGUCUGAGUACUUAGGCAGUUUGAUACAAGGAAUGCCUGAGCUACAGUGCCAUUCUUGUAAGCAUACUUAUACAUUUUUUAAAGGAAACAAGGGCCUGGUCUACAGGCUGUUCUGAUCAAUAUUGGUGUGCAGGAAAUUACUGUAAAUGUUUUCAUGGUUAAGCUAAAGCAACAAUGUUCUUGCAAAUCAUUUAAAAUGUGCUUACAGCUUAAAUAAGGACAUCUAGUCUGUUGCCUUAUUGCUUAUUGCAUUGAACUGCUCCUGUUUAAGGACCCAGUCCAAACCCUACUGAAGUGCAAAGGGAUCCUGUGUUUGGAUUUGCCUGGGUUUUGUAGAAACAAGAUUCUUUGUUACAGCAGGGUCCAUUUCUCUAUGGAACAGAAUUUUUUCAGAGGCUGAUGCUAUGGUUAAGUUAUCACAUGGAGGAAGAUGUCAGGGUAUUCUCUCUUCCCUUCCAUAUGAUGAGCUGGAAUGAGGCCAUUUUCAGUGUGUCCAGGAAGAUCUGGAUCUCAAAGGAGUGGAGCAACCCACAUCAGAACAAGUGAUCUCUAAGGUCAGAACAAAUGCAUACAGCAGCUCAGGUCUAAAGCUUAUACUGUGCCUGAGCACAAGGGUUUGGAUUUUGGAUGGUUCUCUGUGGAGCUGGGUGUUGGAUUUGAUGAUCCUCAUGGGGCCCUUCCAACCCAAGAUGUUUUAUGAUUCUAUAUGUUUUAAACAUACAUAUUUCUGACUCUUAUAACUUGCUCAAAGAACAGCUAGAUGAUCACAGC